rnacentral:rRNA from 1 species
AGGGCACUACCAGGAGUGGAGCCUGCGGCUUAAUUUGACUCAACACGGGGAAACUCACCCGGCCCGGACACCGUAAGGAUUGACAGAUUGAUAGCUUUUUCAUGAUUCGGUGGAUGGUGGUGCAUGGCCGUUCUUAGUUCGUGGAGCGAUUUGUCUGGUUUAUUCCGAUAACGAGCGAGACUCUGGCCUACUAAAUAGUUGGCGCAUUGCUAUUGUGCGUACAACUUCUUAGAGGGAUUUUCGGUGUUCAGCCGCACGAAAUUGAGCAAUUUUUUUGUCUGUGAUGCCCUUAGAUGUCCGGGGCUGCACGCGCGCUACACUGGCAAAAUCAGCGUGCUUGUCCUUCCCCGAAAGGGGUUGGUAAACCCGUGAAAAUUUGCCGUGAUUGGGAUCGGACAUUGCAAUUAUUGUCCGUGAACGAGGAAUUCCUUGUAGGGGCGAGUCAUCAACUCGCUCUGAAUACGUCCCUGCCCUUUGUACACACCGCCCGUCGCUGCCCGGGACUGAGCCACUUCGAGA